AUACGAAAGGUGCAAGCGUUGUUCGGAUUUACUGGGCGUAAAGAGAGUGUAGGUUGUUUAUUAAGUCGGAUGUGAAAUCCCGGGGCUCAACCUCGGAACUGCAUUCGAUACUGAUAGGCUAGAGUUUGGGAGGGGUAAGCGGAAUUCCGUGUGUAGCAGUGAAAUGCGUAGAUAUACGGAGGAACACCUGAGGCGAAGGCGGCUUACUGGACCAAUACUGACACUGAGACUCGAAAGCGUGGGUAGCGAACAGGAUUAGAAACCCUGGUAGUCC
rnacentral:rRNA from 1 species